rnacentral:rRNA from 1 species
GACGAACGCUGGCGGCGUGCUUAACACAUGCAAGUCGAACGGUAAGGCCCUUCGGGGUACACGAGUGGCGAACGGGUGAGUAACACGUGGGCGAUCUGCCCUGCACUUCGGGAUAAGCCUGGGAAACUGGGUCUAAUACCGGAUAGGACCACUGCCUGCAUGGGUGGUGGUGGAAAGCUUUUGCGGUGUGGGAUGGGCCCGCGGCCUAGCAGCUUGUCGGUGGGGUGAUGGCCUACCAAGGCGACGACGGGUAGCCGGCCUGAGAGGGUGACCGGCCACACUGGGACUGAGAUACGGCCCAGACUCCUACGGGAGGCAGCAGUGGGGAAUAUUGCACAAUGGGCGCAAGCCUGAUGCAGCGACGCCGCGUGAGGGAUGACGGCCUUCGGGUUGUAAACCUCUUUCAGCACCGACGAAGCGCAAGUGACGGUAGGUGCAGAAGAAGGACCGGCCAACUACGUGCCAGCCGCCGCCGUAA